rnacentral:rRNA from 1 species
UACGGGGGGAGCAAGCGUUGUUCGGAUUUACUGGGCGUAAAGGGCGCGUAGGCGGCGCGACAAGUCACUUGUGAAAUCUCUGAGCUCAACUCAGAACGGUCAAGUGAUACUGUCGUGCUAGAGUGCGGAAGGGGCAACUGGAAUUCUUGGUGUAGCGGUGAAAUGCGCAGAUAUCAGGAAGAACACCCGUGGCGAAGGCGGCUCUCUGGGACGGUACUGACGCUGAGACGCGAAAGCGUGGGGAGCGAACAGG